AAGAGAAAAAGGGAGCCAGUUCUGUGUCUCCUGGUUUAGAAGAACAUUGAGGUAAAGCAAAAAAUCAAUGGCCGAGCUAUCUUUUCGGUCGUAUCUCUUUUUAUUGGCGAUUCGAUUGUUGCUUGUCCACAU